UGAAUUAGAAGAUCAAUGUCCAAAUAUCAUUAUUGUGGUUUUUUAACCUAAUAAGAGAAACCUAACUUCCUAAAACCCCACCAAUACGUAACAAGUUUUUCUCCCCAUGAAAAAACAGCUGGAACAUGUUAUAUAUAAAGAAGAGAAAAUUAUAUAAAAAGAAAAAGAGAUAAACACACACAUAUAGCCUGGAAACCUUUCAUCCUCUCAAUGGCAACUCAUCAAGCUGCAAAUCCCCACCGUUGUUGGCGACACCACCGCCGAGUUCAGUGGAGCAUACGAUGAAAAACACAGCCUAUACAUACUAUACGGCUUACAUAUAUAGAUGAAUGGCACACAGGGUGAAGCCAGGCAGGGAAACCAAAAGUAAAAGGUAUAUAACUGUUAUAAGCUUACAUGUUGUUCUAACAUGUCUGUAUUUCUAUCCCUAUUUUAAUCUCUUGAUUUAUUAUUAAAAAAAAUAUCAAGAGAGAAUAAAUAUUGGAUUUAUCAUGUAAUUUUGAUAUUUGAUGGGUUUUUAUUCUGUUUCUUUUGAUGGUAUUAUGUUUGAUCUAUGAUUUAUUCUUCUAAGAAUUUAUUGGUUUCUCUGUUUAGUUCUUUAGAAUAUGAUAGAUCCUAUCUAAAGUUUUGUUGAUUAGGUUAAACACUAAUAAUCUUUUGGGACUUCAUUUUAGCAAGAUAUCGAAUCAAUAUGAAUGGUGAACUGUAGUAUUGUAAGAAUCUAUUUCAUGA
rnacentral:lncRNA from 1 species